rnacentral:rRNA from 1 species
AGAGCGAACGCUGGCGGCGUGCUUAACACAUGCAAGUCGAACGCGCAGCAUUCUGUAGCAAUACAGGGUGUGGGCGCGUGGCGAACGGGUGCGUAACACGUGGAUAACCUUCCUUGAGGUGGGGAAUAACCCAGUGAAAAUUGGGCUAAUACCGCAUAAUACCUACGGGUCAAAGGAGCAAUUCGCUUCAGGAGGGGGUCGCGGCCGAUUAGUUAGUUGGCGGGGUAAUGGCCCACCAAGACGAUGAUCGGUA